rnacentral:lncRNA from 1 species
UCCUUCUUUUCUCAACACGUUGUUAUGUAUUUGUUAGUUACUAUUUCUCACUAAAUUGAGAUUAAAGUUGCAAGCAGAGAGUUGUUUGUUCAUUAUGACAUUAUGUAUGUGUAUAUAUAUAUAUAUAUCUGCCAAUUUGGCUUAUCAUAUGAAUAAUUUCAGUACUUCUGGGAGUGAGAUAAAUAACAAUAGGAUAUAAAACACAUUAUGGAGGAUUAGCUAGUAGCUGGGUUUGGGAGAUAUUGAAUGCAAACAGCUCCCCCCCACCCCCAAGCUAUUUAGACAUAAGAGGGAAUUAGAAGGUGGAUAUAAAAAGAAAUAUUGAGGAUAGUGGAAAUAUUUGUCAGCUUGUGACGUUUGUCCCUUUUUAGGAGUAUGACAGUUUGAUUUUUCUUAGGUAGGGUCUCUAUGUAGUUUGGGCUGAUCUAGAACUUGCUCUGUAGACCUCAAUCACAGAAAUCUGCCUCAAUCACAGAAAUCGUCCUGCAUCUGCCUCCUGACUACUGGGAUCAAAGACACUAUCACCAUGUCUGGCUAGUCUGGUUUUUCUUAAAGUAUGUCCCACAGAAUGCAGAGUUUUUAUAAUGUCUUCAAGAUUGACUCCAAGCCAUUGCUUCUUACCUACUAACUCCAGCAGGAUGGAGUUCAAGAAUCAGUAUUUUAGGUGGUGACUUCUGAGGCAAAGUUCUUGUGUAUUAUAUAUUCUUUUAGUAGACAUAAAAAAAGAAAAAAAGAAAAAAAGAAAAAAAAGCAGCCAUAGAAGGAUGAUGGAGAUGAUUAGAGGAGAGUAAUGAAUUAAGUAUAAUCAGCUCACUAAUUUCUGUCUUAAAAACUUGACUCUGGGAAAAAUUACAUUUUUUUCCUAGUUUUAUUCUGUAAGUUUAUUCUAUAAGUUUUCUAUCCCAUGAGUUCCACUCAAAGAAAAUUACUGGUGGAAAACUACAGUGUUUUUGCUGCUGUCAUUCUGUUCCCCAGAGGUAACCAAGGCAACAGUUUGUGUGUGUCCUUUGAGUUUUCUCUGUACAUGGAAAUGCAUGGAAGGACUUCCUCCUUGACAGCCACAGUGGUGGGCCACUACCGCAUGCCUUGUGGCCAGGAACCCACAAUUGAGCUUUUCGACCACAUCACAGUUGUAUUUUUAAAUGUGUGAGGGUCUUCCAUGCUGUUUUCUACUACUGCAUUUUUUAUUUCUGUUGGCUAAUUCUUCUAGUCAGUGAAUUUCUUAGAGAUAGCCAGACAGGAUAUACUGUCAGAAAGAAUUGCCUUUAGCCAAUACUUUUACAUUUAUGAUUAUCUAAUUUUUUUUCUGCUAAACUAGUGAUAACCCUUAAUUUUAACAUGGACUAUAGUAUAAAUACCAUUACUGUUAGUACGUAUUAUCAGUUCCCUAGUGCACAUUUUUCUUUUUUUUUUUUCGAGACAGGGUUUCUCUGUGUAGCCCUGGCUGCCCUGGAACUCACUCUUGUAGACCAGGCUGGCCUUGAACACAGAAAUCCGCCUGCCUCUGCCUCCCAAGUGCUGGGAUUAAAGGCGUGCCCCACCACGCUUGCCUAGUGCACACUUUUUAUCGAUAAUAAAGAAGUGGCAUUUUUAUUAUGACUGAAUAAAGCUUCUUCAAGCUAACGGAAAGAUACCUAAUGUUAUAAUUGUGUAAAUGUAUAUGCUUUUUUGUUGUUAUUCCAGGAAUAUGUUCAGGUUUAUUCAAAACUGAUGUUCAGUAGAACAGAAUAAAUUAACAGCAGGGUGAUAUUUCUCUAGAAGGAGCUUUUUUGAAAAAUGAAAUGAUGUUUAGUAGAACAGAAUAAAUUAACAGCAGGGUGCUAUUUCUUUAGAAGGAGCUUUUUUGAAAAAUGAAAUUCAAUAAAUGUUAGGUGGAGACUGUCUAUUCCAGACGGCACCUCCGCCCCAGCCUCUGCUCCCCUGGCCGUUAGCCUUCUUUCCUCCUUGAGUUUUCCCUAAGUUACUUAUUGUCACCUUCAUCCUGUGAUGUAUUCCCUCCUUCCCUGGGCCUCCCGCUGCUUAUGUAUCAGGUAGGCUCCAUGUGGUCAGGGAAUGGAAUUUGGUUUGCUUACUGAGGUAUUUCUUACACUUGAAAUGGAACAUAGCACAGAGGGGAUUUCUGGUAAACAUUUGUUGGAUAAAUGCCUCACAGCUCUGGCCUAGCCCUGUGAUAAUUAGAACGUUUAGAUGAGCAUCUGAACAUAGGUUUUUCAGCUAAUCAGGUUUACUUUUUGGACUGGUCUCUCAAAAGCAGUUGACCAGCCAUAAUGGGAGACUAUCGCUCUUAGUUUAAAAAACAUCCAUUGUUGGCAUCUAUGUUUUGAAGUUAAAUCAUUUGUCUGACAGUGUUCGUGGGUUAGAGGUAUUUUACUUUUCUUUAUUGGAAAAAACUGAAGGCAUAAUAGGGAGGUAGUGGAGUCUUCUCUUUAACAUACGCCAGGAUCUUCUUAUAGUAAGUUUAGUUGUGGCUCGAGAAUAUAACUCUUAUUAUCCUAAAAAUGAUUAAAGCAAACGCAGCCGAGUUCAUUUUAGUCAUCAGAAAUGUCACAAAUACCUCCAUAGAAUAUCUACUUCCAUAGUGUAACUCUCCACCAUAAAACCUCCAUUAAAACUCAUUGAGAAAGAUAUGGUGAGGUAAAAUGAAUAGUUUAUAUUAAAAAUAGAUAGUUUAUAUAUCAAUAUAUAUAAUAGUUUAUUAUAUAUCAAAAUAGUUUAUUAUAUAUUUUAAAAUUAUAGUUUGAAUUUUGAAAAGAUUAACUGGGACUAGAGAGAUGGUUCAGCGGUUAAGAGUGCUUGCUGCUCUUGUAGUAAGUCCUGCUUCCAGCAUCAGCAUCAGGUGGUUCACAAGUGGUAGUAACUCUAGUUCCAGAGUCUGACACCCUUUCCUUGCCCUUGUGGCCAUCUGCACAUACCUGGUGCACACACAUAUGCUCAGGCAUGCACGCAUAUACAUAAAAAUAAAGAUU